CCUACGGGAGGCAGCAGUGAGGAAUAUUGGUCAAUGGCCGGAAGGCUGAACCAGCCAUGCCGCGUGAAGGUCAGUGCCCUAUGGGCGUUAAACUUCUUUUGUGCGGGAGCAAUAAUGGUCACGUGUGGCCUGACGAGAGUACCGUACGAAUAAGGAUCGGCUAACUCCGUGCCAGCAGCCGCGGUAAUUCGGAGGAUUCCAGCGUUAUCCGGAUUUAUUGGGUUUAAAGGGUGCGUAGGCGGUCGGAUAAGUUAGUGGUGAAAACCCGAGGCUCAACUUCGGAAUUGCCUCUGAUACUGGUCGGCUAGAGAGUAGUUGAGGUAGGCGGAAUGUGUGGUGUAGCGGUGAAAUGCUUAGAGAUCAUACAGAACACCGAUUGCGAAGGCAGCUUACCAAGCUACUUCUGACGUUGAGGCACGAAAGCGUGGGGAGCAAACAGGAUUAGAUACCCGGGUAGUC
rnacentral:rRNA from 1 species